GGGCUAAUGAUGAUAAAAUCUUAUCUUAGCGGAUUUCAGUGAGAUUUCGGUCAAUGAUCUGAUUGUUACACACACUGAAGCCC